rnacentral:rRNA from 1 species
AGGACGAACGCUGGCGGCGUGCUUAACACAUGCAAGUCGAGCGGUAAGGCCUUUCGGGGUACACGAGCGGCGAACGGGUGAGUAACACGUGGGUGAUCUGCCCUGCACUCUGGGAUAAGCCUGGGAAACUGGGUCUAAUACCGGAUAUGACCUGCUCUCGCAUGGGGGUGGGUGGAAAGAUUUAUCGGUGCAGGAUGGGCCCGCGGCCUAUCAGCUUGUUGGUGGGGUAAUGGCCUACCAAGGCGACGACGGGUAGCCGACCUGAGAGGGUGACCGGCCACACUGGGACUGAGACACGGCCCAGACUCCUACGGGAGGCAGCAGUGGGGAAUAUUGCACAAUGGGCGAAAGCCUGAUGCAGCGACGCCGCGUGAGGGAUGAAGGCCUUCGGGUUGUAAACCUCUUUCAGCAGGACGAAGCGCAAGUGACGGUACCUGCAGAAGAAGCACCGGCUAACUACGUGCCAGCAGCCGC